AUUUUAUAAGCAUCAAAGGCCAAAAAAAAAAGAGCCAUAUCUCUCUGGAAAUUUUUCUCUGGUGUGGAUGGUGCGACAUCUCGGUUCUCAUAACGAGAGGUUGUUCUCCUUGGGUGAGGUUGGUACCUCUCGCUGGGUAUAGUGUAGGCCGGAAAGUCAAGAGAAGAUCGCCAAAGUGUCUGCCACCUCCUUCCUCUGUUAGUUUUGAGAUGCUCUGAUGGUAUCCUGCUUUCCCUCGGCCUGGGGUGUAGUUCGACUCCCUUGAAGCUCUGGAAGACGAAAAUGGCUAGAGGGUUUCCUUUGAUCUUCGUUUAGAAAGAAAGUUAUGCAUGACAACUAUAGCGGGAGAUUCUCUAUUUUUGUUAGUCGUUCUGGCUCUGUAAGUGUCUCCAGCACCGACGAAAGGCUAGCCCAGUUGCGGCGCUUUGGAGCUGCUGCAUUCUCUUCCAAGUGGGGUCAUGGUACAUGGGUCGAAUAUCCAUUAGAGAUUAGGGCUUGAUUUAAUUUGAGUCUGUCUUUGCAUAAGCUAGUUAGGUGUUUUCAAUUGUAUUUGUGUAUGUUUCUGUAGUCGAGUUUGAGGCUUUUUUAAUCAAUUGAAAUAUCUAUUUAUCAUCGGAAAAAAAAAACUAUACAAUAA
rnacentral:misc_RNA from 1 species